rnacentral:rRNA from 1 species
AGUGAACGCUGGCGGUAGGCCUAACACAUGCAAGUCGAACGGCAGCACAGUAAGAGCUUGCUCUUACGGGUGGCGAGUGGCGGACGGGUGAGGAAUACAUCGGAAUCUACUUUUUCGUGGGGGAUAACGUAGGGAAACUUACGCUAAUACCGCAUACGACCUACGGGUGAAAGCAGGGGAUCUUCGGACCUUGCGCGAUUGAAGGAGCCGAUGUCGGAUUAGCUAGUUGGCGGGGUAAAGGCCCACAAAGGCGACGAUCCGUAGCUGGUCUGAGAGGAUGAGCUGCCACACUGGACCUGAGACACGGUCCAGACUCCUACGGGAGGCAGCAGUGGGGAAUAUUGGACAAUGGGCGCAAGCCUGCUCCAGCCAUACCGCGUGAGUGACGAAGGCCUUCGGCUUGUAAAGCCCUUUUGUUGGGAAAGAAAAACAGCACGUUAAUACCCCGCUGUUCUGACGGUACCCAAAGAAUAAGCACCGGCUAACUUCGUG